UACUAAUACUAAACUUAAUAUUAUGAAAAAUUAGAUUAAAAAUAAAUUCAGUCAAGCAUCGUUAACCGAACCAUACACAUUAAAUGGGACGGAGGUAGAAUAUUUUUUAUGGUUAUCUU